GGGGAUGUAGUUCAGUGGUAGAGCACUUGCCUAGCAUGCAUGCAGCUCUGGGUUCCAUCCCCA
rnacentral:tRNA from 1 species